AAUGAACGCUGGCGGCAUGCCUUACACAUGCAAGUCGAACGGCAGCAUGACCUAGCUUGCUAGGUUGAUGGCGAGUGGCGAACGGGUGAGUAAUGCAUCGGAACGUGCCUUUUAGUGGGGGAUAACGUAGCGAAAGUUACGCUAAUACCGCAUAUUCUCUGAGGAGGAAAGCAGGGGACCUUCGGGCCUUGCGCUAGAAGAGCGGCCGAUGUCGGAUUAGCUAGUUGGUGGGGUACAGGCUCACCAAGGCAACGAUCCGUAGCGGGUCUGAGAGGAUGAUCCGCCACACUGGGACUGAGACACGGCCCAGACUCCUACGGGAGGCAGCAGUGGGGAAUUUUGGACAAUGGGCGCAAGCCUGAUCCAGCCAUGCCGCGUGAGUGAAGAAGGCCUUCGGGUUGUAAAGCUCUUUCGGCUGGGAAGAAAUCGCACCCUCUAAUACAGGGUGUGGAUGACGGUACCAGCAUAAGAAGCACCGGCUAACUACGUG
rnacentral:rRNA from 1 species